GAUGAACGCUGGCGGCGUGCCUAAUACAUGCAAGUCGAGCGAACAGACGAGGAGCUUUCUCCUCUGACGUUAGCGGCGGACGGGUGAGUCACACGUGGAUAACCUACCUAUAAGACUGGGAUAACUUCGGGAAACCGUAGCUAAUACCGGAUACUAUAUUCACCCGCAUGGUUCAAUAGUGAAUGACGGUUUUUCUGUCACUUCUAGAUGGAUCCGCGGCGCAUUAGCUAGUUGGUAAGGUAACGGCUUACCAAGGCGACGAUGCGUAGCCGACGUGAGAGGGUGAUCGGCCACACUGGAACUGAGACACGGUCAAGACUCCUACGAGAGGCAGCAGUAGGGAAUCGGCCGCAGUGGGCGAAAGCCUGGCGGAGCAACGCCGCGUGAGUGAUGAAGGUCUUCGGAUCGGAAAACUCUGUUAUGAGGGAAGAACAAAUGUGUAAGUAACUAUGCACGUCGUGACGGUACCUAAACAGAAAGCCACGGCUAACUACGUG
rnacentral:rRNA from 1 species